UCGGCAAGAGGAGGAGGUGAGCCCUCUGGACGGGAUCGGACGGAGAGGAGGCGGGUUCGGCUAUGGAGGAGCACGGUUGACAAGGGGUUGUACUGCAGACAAGGGGAAAGAGCUAGUGAUGUAAUAGUCGAGAUAGUUGGCUACUCUUUUGUGUACAUACACAUUUUGGGUGUACAGAGAGAUCUGAGUGAUAGUUGUACAAAUUUUUGGGUAUGCAAGUAAAUUUUAACGGUUUUAGUAAAGCUCUAUAUUUCAAUUGAGAUGUGCGUUUUAUUUGAGGUAUAUUAUAUAUGCUUCCUAUUGUGAAAAACUUGAUGUGUUAUGAUUAGUUAUGUUAGGAUAAUUUGAAUAGACUAUUUUUUUACUUAUUUAUUUUUUA